CAGCCGCGGGAAUACGGAGGGUGCAAGCGUUAAUCGGAAUUACUGGGCGUAAAGCGCACGCAGGCGGUCUGACAAGUCAGAUGUGAAAUCCCCGGGCUUAACCUGGGAACUGCAUUUGAAACUGUCAGGCUGGAGUCUUGUAGAGGGGGGUAGAAUUCCAGGUGUAGCGGUGAAAUGCGUAGAGAUCUGGAGGAAUACCGGUGGCGAAGGCGGCCCCCUGGACAAAGACUGACGCUCAGGUGCGAAAGCGUGGGGAGCAAACAGGAUUAGAUACCCGUGUAGUCCCUGUCUCUUAUACACA
rnacentral:rRNA from 1 species